UACGUAGGCAGCGAGCGUUGUUCGGAGUUACUGGGCGUAAAGAGUGCGUAGGCGGUUUUCUAAGUUUGGUGUGAAAUCUCCCGGCUUAACUGGGAGGGUGCGCCGAAAACUGGAAGGCUUGAGUAUGGGAGAGGUAAGCGGAAUUCCUGGUGUAGCGGUGAAAUGCGUAGAUAUCAGGAGGAACACCUGUGGCGAAAGCGGCUCACUGGGACCAUAACUGACGCUGAUGCACGGAAAGCCUAGGGGAGCAAACAGG
rnacentral:rRNA from 1 species